ACAUAAUCUUGAUAUACACUUUUAAUGUAAACUCAUAGAUCAUACGAAUGACAGAAUGAGCAUUUAUGAAUCGUCUCUGAUUGGGGAAUCUCUCUGUAUUUGUGAGAGAAAUGCAUGUGGUGAACAUUGAGACUCUUCUAGCGUACCAGGUCAACAAAUGCCAUUUUUGCUAAAGAAUCUGCCAAUCAAAUUCACCAGCUAACCACACUCAAAAAACUGAAUUAUCACUGCUGUUGGAUAUAAAUAAUAUUAUUACGUUUGAAUUACUUAAAAUUGUGAGUUUCUCAUAUCAACUUGAAUCAGUUGUGUUGUUUCAACGUAAAAAUGUACGAAGCCAAGUUUACUUGACUCUUUUAGUUUCCCCAACUUAACUCUGUUAUGUUAGCCUAACAUCCCAUGAAUGUUGCGUCAUCAAAUUCAAAGUCAAAGUCACGCGAGACUUUGUGACUCCCGCCACACGUCUUCUCGUUCUAACGGAAGCAGCAGACACUGUGCCAUCUUUCAAAACUAUUUUCCUGAAAGCCACAUAAAAGCGGUAACUGUGCAGUCUUCACACGCAUUACAACAAUCCCACUUCAUGUCUCAUCUGGACCGCUAUUCUGAAAAGAUGCAGUUUUCCACAAGAAAGGAGGCGCAGCUGGAUCCAAAAUAGCCGAAAUUGUAUCUGUGGCUGACCAGAAUAAUUCGAUUGCAAAAAGAAGUGGCAUCCCCCAAGCCCUUGAAGCAUAUCUUAAUGAGCACCCUGCCAAGCUAGUUUAUGAGUAUAAAAGCGAGAACCCUGACGAAACAAGUGCGAAACUGGAACAGAUCAUGAUGGGAAUCUAUGUGAUCAAACAUCCAGGUGAAGAUGCUGCUCAGUAACCAGAGGACUUUGGGAUCAACGUUGAAGGUGUUAAAGUUCUUCAUGAACUCAAAGAUUGCCAGUGCUCAUGCACUACCGUUUGGCCUCGUGCAUGACCUUAACCUGAGCUACCCUCCUGACCUCAAGUACACUUUUGAAAAUAUUCAAAAGGUCCUUAUGGAGCUGGAGUCACAUCAGCUUUUUCAUCUAAAGUCCAGAUGUUGAAGAAUAAGCUGCUGAACUAAUGUCCUACACACACAGUUUUUGUUACCCGGGACAUUGUUCAUUGUGGUUGGAGAUUUUGGCAUUUUCCUAAAACCUUUUAUGUUGCUUUCUGCUGAUUGGCUAUACCUGUUAACUUUUUUAUAAAUAGUUUUUUUAUGGAAAAGCCUGUUUUGAUGAUGUUGUGGUCAAACUCUAGAAGGUGCUGUUAAGACUAAUUUCAUUGCUGUUACACCCAUUGUUCAUUGUGCAUGAACAUUUGGGCAUUUUCUCGCUGGACCAGUUGACUGUUUUGCAAACUGUUUUUUAAGGAAAAGACUAUUUUGCUUGUUGGCUGUCUAAAUAAAAGGGAUAUUAUGAC